UAAUACCAACAGUCCGAGUAGCAGCCACUUUUAUUGGGUCUAAAACAUCCGUAGCUCGCCUUGUAAGUCUCAUGUUAAAUCAGGCAUCUUAAGUGUCUGGCUGCAUGAGAUACUGCUUGGCUAGAGACCGGGGAGACGUGAGAAGUACGGAUAGGGUAGCGGUAAAAUGCGUUGAUCCUAUUUGGACUAACGAUAGCGAAGGCAUCUCACGAGAACGGAUCUGACAGUGAGGGAUGAAGGCUAGGGGCGCAAAGUGGAUUAGAUACCCAUGUAGUCCUAGCAGUAAACACUGCACACUAAACAUCAGUACCUCCUCGAGAGGUAUUGGUGCUGUAGGGAAGCCGUAGAGUGUGCUACCUGGGAAGUAUAGUCGCAAGGCCG
rnacentral:rRNA from 1 species